rnacentral:rRNA from 1 species
CCUACGGGAGACAGCAGUGGGGAAUAUUGCACAAUGGGGGAAACCCUGAUGCAGCGACGCCGCGUGAGCGAUGAAGUAUUUCGGUAUGUAAAGCUCUAUCAGCAGGGACGAAAAUGACGGUACCUGACUAAGAAGCCCCGGCUAACUACGUGCCAGCAGCCGCGGUAAUACGUAGGGUGCAAGCGUUAUCCGGAUUUACUGGGUGUAAAGGGAGCGUAGACGGCUGUGCAAGCCAGAUGUGAAAGCCCGGGGCUCAACCCCGGGACUGCAUUUGGAACUGUGUGGCUGGAGUGUCGGAGAGGAAGGCGGAAUUCCCAGUGUAGCGGUGAAAUGCGUAGAUAUUAGGAGGAACUCCAGUGGCGAAGGCGGCCUGCUGGACGAUGACUGACGUUGAGGCUCGAAAGCGUGGGGAGCAAACAGGAUUAGAUACCCUAGUAGUC